GUAGGCUAGUGGAAGAACGUGCACACUCAGAUUGGGGGGACUAGAUUAGGGAGCUCUGAGGCAACCCGUUUUGGCGGGAAAGGGCUGAGGCAAAGCUGCGUGAAGUAACAGUGAUCUAGCCUGUCUGCUGAGAGGCCUAGCAGAGGGGGUGAAUUCUGCCUGG